rnacentral:lncRNA from 1 species
GCGACUCACUCGGGUCCCCUUCCACGUGGGGGAGGAUUUGUUUUUUUGCUCUUUGUAUUAAGUUCCUGCUGUUCAGUUGUGGGGUCCACACUGCUUUCAUGAGCUGUAACACUCACGAUGAUGGUCUGCAGCUUCGCUCCUGAAGCCAGCGAGACCACAAACCCACUGGGAGGAACGAGCAAGUCUAGACGCGCCACCUUAAGAGCUGUAACACUCACUGCGAAGGUCUGCAGUUUCACUCUUGAGCUAGCGAGACCAAGAACCCACCGGAAGGAAGAAACUCGGAACACAUCUGAACAUCAGAAGAAACAAACUCCAGACACGCUGCCUUUAACAACUGUAAUACUCACUGCGAGGGUCCAGCACUUCAUUCUUGAAGUCAGUGAGACCGAGAACCCACCAAUUCUGGACACACUAUUAUGAAUUUUUUUUUUUUUUUUGAGACGGAGUCUCACUGUCACCCAGGCUGGAGUGCAGUGGCACAAUCUUGGCUCACUGCAACCUCUGCCUCGGGUUUAAGUGAUUCUCCUGCAUCAGCCUCCCCAGUAGCUGGGGUUACAGGUGUAUGCCACCAGGCCUGACGAAUUUUUGUAUUUUUAGGAGAGGGGGCUUCACAAGGUUGGUCAGGUUGGUCUCUAACUUCUGACCUCGUGAUCCUCCCGCCUUGGCCUCCCAAAAUGCUGGGAUGACAGGCGUCAGCCACCGUGCCCAGCUGCUAUUAUGAAUAUUCCUGUACACACGCCUCUUGUGUACAUAUGUGUGCAUUUCUCUAAGCUAGUAGUUCUCGAACUGUGGCCUCUGGACCAGCAGUAUCAG